rnacentral:rRNA from 1 species
AGAGUUUGAUCCUGGCUCAGAUUGAACCCUGUCAGAAGGCCUAACACGUGCAAGUCGAGCGGUAGAGAGAAGCUUGCUUCUCUUGAGAGCGGCGGACGGGUGAGUAAUGCCUAGGAAUCUGCCUGGUACUGGGGGAUAACGUCCGGAAACGGACGCUAAUACCGCAUACGUCCUACGGGAGAAAGCAGGGGACCUUCGGGCCUUGCGCUAUCAAAUGAGCCUAGGUCGGAUUAACUAGUUGGUGGGGUAAUGGUUCACCACGGCUACAAUCCGUAACUGGUCUGAGAGGAUGAUCAGGCCCACUGGAACUGAAACACGUUCCAGACUCCUACGGUAGGUCCCGGUGGGGAAUAUUGGACAAUGUGCGAAGGCCUGAUCCAGCCAUGCCGCGUGUGUGAAAAAGGUCUUCGGAUUGUAAAGCACUUUACCUUGGGAGGAAGGGCAGUAAAUUAAUACUUUGCUGUUUUGACGUUACCGACGUAAUAAACACCGGCUAACUCUGUGCCAACAGUCGCGGUAAUACAGAGGGUGCAAGCGUUAAUCGGAAUUACUGGGCGUAAAGCGCGCGUAUGUGGUUCGUUAAGUUGGAUGUGAAAUCCCCGUGGCUCAAUCUGGGAACUGCAUUCAACACUGACGAGCUAGAGUAUGGUAGAGGGUGGUGCCAAUUUCCUGUGUAGCGGUGAAAUGCGUAUAUAUAAGAAGGAUCACCAGUGGCGAAAGCGACCACCUGUACUGAUACUGACACUGAGGUGCUGAACAGCGUGGGGAGCAAACAGGAUUAGAUCCCCUGGUAGUCCACGCCGUAAACGAUGUCAACUAGCCGUUGGGAGCCUUGAGCUAAUAGUGGCGCAGCUAACGCAUUAAGUUGCCCGCCUGGGGAGUACGGCCGCAAGGUUAAAACUCAAAUGAAUUGACGGGGCCCCGCACAAGCGGUGGAGCAUGUGGUUUAAUUCCAAGCAACGCGAAGAACCUUACCAGGCUCUUGACAUCCGAUGAACUUUCUAGAGAUAGAAUGGUGCCUUCGGGAACAUUGAGACAGGUGAUCCAUGGCUGUCGUCAGCUCGUGUCGUGAGAUCUAGGGAUAAGUCCCGUAACGAGCGCAACCCUUGUCCUUAGUCACCAGCACGUAAUGGUGGGCACUCUAAGGAGACUGCCGGUGACAAACCGGAGGAAGGUGGGGAUGACGUCAAGUCAUCAUGGCCCUUACGGCCUGGGCUACACACGUGCUACAAUGGUCGGUACAGAGGGUUGCCAAGCCGCGAGGUGGAGCUAAUCCCAGAAAACCGAUCGUAGUCCGGAUCGCAGUCUGCAACUCGACUGCGUGAAGUCGGAAUCGCUAGUAAUCGCGAAUCAGAAUGUCGCGGUGAAUACGUUCCCGGGCCUUGUACACACCGCCCGUCACACCAUGGGAGUGGGUUGCACCAGAAGUAGCUAGUCUAACCUUCGGGAGGACGGUUACCACGGUGUGAUUCUUGGCUGGGGUGAAGUCGUAACAAGGUAACC